GAUGAACGCUGGCGGCGUGCCUAAUACAUGCAAGUCGAGCGAACGGACGAGAAGCUUGCUUCUCUGAUGUUAGCGGCGGACGGGUGAGUAACACGUGGAUAACCUACCUAUAAGACUGGGAUAACUUCGGGAAACCGGAGCUAAUACCGGAUAAUAUUUUGAACCGCAUGGUUCAAAAGUGAAAGACGGUCUUGCUGUCACUUAUAGAUGGAUCCGCGCUGCAUUAGCUAGUUGGUAAGGUAACGGCUUACCAAGGCAACGAUGCAUAGCCGACCUGAGAGGGAGAACGGCCACACUGGAACUGAGACACGGUCCAGACUCCUACGGGAGGCAGCAGUAGGGAAUCUUCCGCAAUGGGCGAAAGCCUGACGGAGCAACGCCGCGUGAGGGAUGAAGGUCUUCGGCUCGUAAAACUCUGUUAGUAGGGAAGAACAUAUGUGUAAGUAACUGUGCACAUCUUGACGGUACCUAAUCAGAAAGCCACGGCUAACUACGUG
rnacentral:rRNA from 1 species